rnacentral:rRNA from 1 species
AGGGUUUGAUUCUGGCUCAGAAUGAACGUUGGCGGCGUGGAUUAGGCAUGCAAGUCGCACGAGAAAGUCCCGCAAGGGGCGAGUAAAGUGGCGGAAGGGCGAGUACUAUAUAGGUAACCUGCCCACGGGAGGAGGAUAACCACUCGAAAGGGUGGCUAAUACUCCGUAAUAUCGUAAGGGGGCAUCUCCUAACGGUUAAAGCUGGGGAUCCUUCGGGACCUGGCGCCUGUGGAGGGGCUUAUAUCCUAUCAGCUAGUUGGUGGAGUAAUGGCCUACCAAGGCAUCGACGGGUAGCCGGACUGAGAGGUCGGCCGGUCGCAGUGGGACUGAGAUACUGCCCACACUCCUACGGGAGGCUGCAGUCGAGAAUCUUCGGCAAUGGGCGAAAGCCUGACCGAGCGACGCCGCGUGGAGGAUGAAGGCCUUCGGGUUGUAAACUCCUUUUAGGGGGCAUGAAGGGCAGGAGGAUAACACCUUUUCUGUCCUGACGUAAACCCCAGAAAAAGCCACGGCUAACUACGUGCCAGCAGCCGCGGUAAAACGUAGGUGGCGAACGUUAUUCGGAAUUACUGGGCAUAAAGGGUCCGUAGGCGGGUUAGUAAGUCAGUUGUGAAAUCCCACGGCCUACCCGUGGAACGGCAUCUGAUACUGCUAGUCUUGAGUGUGGGAGAGGAGAGUGGAACUCUUGGUGGAGCGGUGAAAUGCGUAGAUAUCAAGAGGAACGCCGGUGGUGAAAACGACUCUCUGGCCCAUUACUGUCGCUGAGGGACGAAAGCUAGGGGAGCAAACAGGAUUAGAUACCCUGGUAGUCCUAGCCAUAAACGAUGAGCACUAAAUAGGGGGAAUCCGAAAUUUUCCCUGUUGUAGCUAACGCGUUAAGUGCUCCGCCUGGGGAGUAUGGUCGCAAGGCUAAAACUCAAAGAAAUUGACGGGGGCUCGCACAAGCGGUGGAGUAUGUGGCUUAAUUCGAGGCAACGCGAAGAACCUUACCUGGGCUUGAAAAGCCGGUAGUAUCUGCCCGAAAGGGCGUGAGAUCCUAGUUUACUAGGAAGCCGGUACAGGUGUUGCAUGGCUGUCGUCAGCUCGUGCCGUGAGGUGUCGGGUUAAGUCCCAUAACGAGCGAAACCCCUGCCCUUAGUUACCAGCGGGUCAUGCCGGGGACUCUAAGGGGACUGCCGGUGUUAAACCGGAGGAAGGUGGGGAUGACGUCAAGUCAUCAUGGCCCUUAUACCCAGGGCUGCACACGUACUACAAUGGCCGGUACAAAGGGAAGCAAGACCGUAAGGUGGAGCAAAUCCCAAAAAGCCGGUCCUAGUUCAGAUUGAGGGCUGCAAUUCGCCCUCAUGAAGCUGGAAUCGCUAGUAAUCGCGGAUCAGCCACGCCGCGGUGAAUGUGUUCCCGAGCCUUGUACACACCGCCCGUCAAGCCACCCAAGCAGGGUCUACCCGUAGUCCGUAUACCAACCCGCAAGGGAGGAAGCGGCCGAAGGUGGGCUUUGUGAGGAGGACUAAGUC